AACGAACGCUGGCGGCAUGCCUAACACAUGCAAGUCGAACGAGAUCUUCGGGUCUAGUGGCGCACGGGUGCGUAACGCGUGGGAAUCUGCCCUUUGGUUCGGAAUAACAGUUGGAAACGACUGCUAAUACCGGAUGAUGACGAAAGUCCAAAGAUUUAUCGCCAGAGGAUGAGCCCGCGUAGGAUUAGCUAGUUGGUGUGGUAAAGGCGCACCAAGGCUACGAUCCUUCGCUGGUCUGAGAGGAUGAUCAGCCACACUGGGACUGAGACACGGCCCAGACUCCUACGGGGGGCAGCAGUGAGGGAUAGGGGACAGUGGCCGAAAGCCUGAUCCAGCAAUGCCGCGUGAGUGAUGAAGGCCGUAGGGUUGUAAAGCUCUUUUACCCGGGAUGAUAAUGACAGUACCGGGAGAAUAAGCUCCGGCUAACUCCGUGCCAGCCGCCGCUGUAA
rnacentral:rRNA from 1 species